AGACCACAUGUAUUUUGUCUCGCACAAAAGUUGAAAUCGACUUCUAUGUGCUUUGUCCUAUCAUGGAACACAAGGUUCCUAGCAAUGUGUAAAGGUGUUUGGCUAUCGCAAAACACUUGAAUGGUAUCAGUACGUGGAACCGUGAGUUCCUCCAACAAUCUAUGCACCCAUACCAAUUCUCCAACAACAUUUCUUAGUGAUAUAUACUCUGUUUCUUCGGAAGAUAAUAAGACAGUAGUCUGCUUCUUUGAUUUCAAGUUAAUGGGGCUACCUCCAAAGAGCACCAGAUACCCACUUACAAAUCUCCUUGAGUCAGACAUGCUACUCAAUCCGAGUCACAAUAGGCUUUGGCCUUUUAAGAAGGAUCAUUGGACAAAAAAAUGCCUAGAGUAGGAUCAUUCUUCAGAUACCUGAGUACAUGUAUAGCAGCCUUCAGGAGAGGCUCUCUUGGUGUCUGCAUAAGUUGGCUUAGGUGUUGUACACUAUAUGCAAUAUCCAGCCUUGUGUUUGUGAGAAAGUUGAGCUUCCCAACUAGUUUUCUAUAAUUAGAUGGAUCAGACAGCAAAAUACCUUCUUCAACCCUAAGUUUGGUUAAUGAAUCUAGUGGAGAUGAAAUAGCAUAAUACCCCAGGCAAAUGGCAAUCAUACUCUUUCAGUAGGUCAGUGGUGAACUUCAUUUGGGAGAUCAACACUCCAUUAUCCUUGUAAAGCAUCUCUAUCCCCAAGAAGUAAUGUAAUUUACCUAAAUAUUUUAUUUUGAACUGAUUAUGUAAGUAAGUCUUCAACACCUUAAUUUCCUCAAGAUUAGUCCUAUUAAGGAUCACAUUAUCAACAUAUACAACUAAAAAAACUGAUGACUCACCUUACUUUUUGUAGAACAAGGAGUAAUCAUUAGUUGAAUGUCUGAGACCUGUGGAGUACAGGGAUUCGGUUAGCUUGUCAUACCACUGUCUACUAGCUUUUUUGAGGCCAUACAGAGACUUCCUUAAUCUUCACACAAGUUGUGUGUAUUCUACCUUUGGACCUUGUGGGAUUUACAUGUAUACCUAUCAUAUAGGUCUCGAUGUAGGAACAUAUUAUUCACAUCCAGCUGAUAAAGGUCCUAUCCUUUCUUUACGACAGUGCUAAUCAGGACUCUAAUAGUGGUUAUCUUCAUCAUUGGGGAGAAAGUUUCUGUAUAGUGAAUCCCAACUUCUUGUGUGUAUCCCUUUACUACAAUCUUGCUUUAUAUCUUUCCGCACUUCCAUCUACUUUGUGCUUUAUCUUGUACACCGACUUGCAUCCUAUGGCCUUCUUUUCUGCAGGAAACUUAACUAGAUCCUAAGUAUGGUUAGCAUAUAAAGCUUCAAAUUCUUGUGUCACUGCUACUUGCCAGGUAAGAUUCAAGGUUACCUCCUCAUAAGAGCAUGGUUCACACUCAUGUGAAAUGUCUUAACUAAUUGAUGGCUAUCAUGGCUCAAUGUGUUGAAGAAACAUAAUGGUUAUCAGAGAAAAGGGCAGUAAGUGAAGUAGGAGAUAAUUGAUGUUCAAGGUUUGUGUUGUUGUUUAAGUUACUGUUUGGUUGUAAAUUAGUUAGUGUAUAGACAUAGUCUUUGAGGUGUGAGGGUGUGUUAAGUGUUCUUCUUGAUCUUCUAUGUUGAUUGGUUGGUUGACCAAUAUUAGGCUCUAUGUUAUGUGGUGCUUGGUUGUAGGGUGCUACGUGGAAUUCUGAGUGUUCUACAGGUGAAACACUUGGUUCUCUAUUUAGGUUUACAUGUGAAAUAUGAUUUGGUGCGUAUGUAGAUUUUGACAAAGGGUUAAUGUCUGGUGUAUCAAGUAUAGGACUUUCUGUGACAGAAGUUGAUGCAUCUCUAUUGUGAUUUCAAUGAUCAUCAAGUGAAUUUAUUGUGGAAUUGGGACAAGGGAAAUUGUGGUUUAUCAUAUGCAACAUAUAAGGAAAAGAGGAAUGUUCAGGUGAAAUGGCUAAAGGAAAAACACCUUCAUGAAGCAUAACAUCUCUAGACACAUGUACCCUCUUUGUGGCUAAAUCAAGGACCAUAUUUUGGUCCUAAAAGAAUAUCCUACAAAUACAUGAUGAGUGGCUCAAGGUUCAGAUUUAUAUUUGUGAGUUUUGAGUGUGGUAGCAUAACACAGGCAACCAAAACUUCUAAAAUGUGAAUAGGUUGGUUUUCUGUUGUAAAGGAUCUCAAGGAUUGCAUAGGUGAAUUAUGACUCUUUCAUGUAUUUACUAUUUCAGUCAAUGCAGGAAAACAAGAAUGAGAGUAAAGAUUGAAAAGAAUAGAAAAAGAACCCGACUCUGAACACCAAUGACACUCAAGGCAAAGGAAGUACAAUCCACUCCUUGCCUUACCAAUCUUCAGGCAUCUUCAUUGAAGGGCCUGCAUCAUUCAAAGGUAUUUAUUGUAGUUAACUAUGCAAUUAAUCAGUUAAGGAAUGAAUAUAGAUGAGGUUGUAUUUGAAAAUAGGCACAUAUAUUACUCUAACUAAGGUUAACAUAGGACCAACAGAUGCAUCUCCAAUUUCUGUCACUUUCACUCUAUAUCUGUUAGGUAAGGUAACUACGAAAGGAUAGGGCAAGGUUCUAAAAUUAUUUAAAAAGGAUUUUCUAUGUCAUAUGAUUUGAGGAUCCACUAUCUAAUAUCCACGAGUCAGCAAUAGAUUUAGAAAAUGUACACACGGUUGUUUCAAAAAUCUCUUUAUAGGUAGAACAUGCUAGAAUGCCUGCGAAGUUUGCAGCUCCACAAGUCAUGUUGUUGUUAGGACCUUCUUCUGUGUUUCUUCCUGGGAAUUUCUCCAUUAAGCUAAUUAAUUGGUUGUAUCUCUCCGUUGUUAGGCUCUUAAGUCCCUGACUUUGAUUUCUUUUUUCCAUCUCCUCACAAUCUACAGGAACAUUUACAGCAGAUGUUGCAUUUCUCCGUUUUGUGAAAAGACAAGAAAGGUUGCUCUGAUAGUAAGCAACCUCCAUUUCCAACCAAAAGGUUGUAAGUUCGAGUCUCCCCAGGAGCAAUGUGGGAAGUUCUUGGAGGGAAGGAUGCCGAUGGUCUAUUUGGAAAAAGCCUCUCUACCUUAGGGUAGGGGUAAUGUAUGCGUACACAUUACCCUCACCAGACCCCACUAAGUGAGAUUAUACUGGGUUGUUGUUGUUGCUGUUGAAGUCUUGUGGGAAACCAUGAAUUCUGUAACAUUUGUCCCUGGUGUGUCCUGUCUUUUCACAAUAGUCAUAGAACAUCCAAGACUUAGCAGGUGGAUAGUUUGAUUUUUUUUUUGAAUUGUAUGGGUUUGGCCCAAUACUACCUCCUCCCCGAUUGUAAUUGGUCCUUGUUACAUCUUGCAUUUUUGUAUGUUAAAGUUUCAUCUUCAGUUAAUCGACAUAGACUCAGGGAUGAGAUUAUCUCGAG
rnacentral:lncRNA from 1 species